GCUAGUUCAAACCUCAGCAGACUCUGUUCAGUCGGCUUCAAGUUAAAUAUGGAAGAUUUAAGGGGGUGUUUGGAUGCAAUAGAGCUAAUAGUUAGUGGCUAAAAUUAGGCCCCGUUUCAAUCUCACGGGAUAAGCUUUAGCUUCCGGCUAAACUUUAGUUAUAUGAAUUGAAGUGCUAAAGUUUAGUUUCAAUUAUCACCAUUAGCUCUCAUGUUUAGAUUACAAAUGGCUAAAAGUAGCUAAAAAAAAGCUGCUAAAGUUUAUCUCACGGGAUUGGAACAGGGCCUUAGUUGAGACAUCAAACACCCUAUCUAAUUGUUCAACUAUUAUCUAUUUUUGGUAAACUAGUUAAUAGUUAGGCCCCGUUUCAAUCUCACGGGAUAAACUUUAGCUUCCUGCUAAAC
rnacentral:lncRNA from 1 species